UCCCUGGUGGCUCAGUGGUUACAGAUCCAGCAUUGUCACUGCUGUGGCUCGGGUUUGAUCCCUGACUGGAGAA
rnacentral:tRNA from 1 species